rnacentral:rRNA from 1 species
CCCUUAGAUGUUCUGGGCCGCACGCGCGCUACAAUGGUCUUCGCAAACGGAUGCAUUCUCGAAGGAGAAUGCCAAUCUUGGAAUCUAUGCCUUGGUCGGGACAGUUGCUUGCAAUUUUUCGACUCGAACCAGGAAUUCCUUGUAAUCGUGGUUCAUCACAUCACGAUGAAUACGUCCCUGCCCUUUGUACACACCGCCCGUCGCUCCUACCGAUCGAAGAGUUAGGUGAAUUGUUUUGAUCGAUAAGAUUUGACUAUGGUCAACUCUCGUUGUGAAAUUCUGUGAAUCUGACUGUUUAGAGGAAGGAAAAGUCGUAACA